ACAGAGGUCCCGAGCGUUGUUCGGAUUCACUGGGCGUAAAGGGUGCGCAGGUGGCAUGGUAAGUUUGAUGUGAAAGCCCCGGGCUUAACCUGGGAAUGGCAUUUGGGACUGCAAGGCUUGAGUGCGGCAGAGGAGACUGGAAUUCCUGGUGUAGCAGUGAAAUGCGUAGAUAUCAGGAGGAAUACCGAUGGCGAAGGCAGGUCUCUGGGCUGACACUGACGCUCAUGCACGAAAGCGUGGGGAGCAAACAGGA
rnacentral:rRNA from 1 species